rnacentral:rRNA from 1 species
CCUACGGGAGGCAGCAGUGAGGAAUAUUGGUCAAUGGCCGGAAGGCUGAACCAGCCAUGCCGCGUGAAGGUCAGUGCCCUAUGGGCGUUAAACUUCUUUUGUGCGGGAGCAAUAAUGGUCACGUGUGGCCAGACGAGAGUACCGUACGAAUAAGCAUCGGCUAACUCCGUGCCAGCAGCCGCGGGAAUACGGGGGAUGCAAGCGUUAUCCGGAUUUAUUGGGUUUUAAGUGUGCGUAGGCUGGGAGGUAAGUCAGCGGUGAAAUGCCGCCGCUCAACGGGGUGAAGUGCCAUUGAUACUGCCUUGCUUGAAUGCGGGUGACGUGGGAGGAAUGUGUGGUGUAGCGGUGAAAUGCAUAGAUAUCACACAGAACACCGAUUGCGAAGGCAUCUCACGAAUCCGCGAUUGACGCUGAUGCACGAAAGCGUGGGUAUCAAACAGGAUUAGAUACCCCUGUAGUC